UCCUACGGGGGGCAGCAGUGGGGAAUAUUGCACAAUGGGGGGAACCCUGAUGCAGCGACGCCGCGUGAGUGAAGAAGUAUUUCGGUACGUAAAGCUCUAUCAGCAGGGAAGAAAAAAGGACGGUACCUGAGUAAGAAGCCCCGGCUAACUACGUGCCAGCAGCCGCGGUAAUACGUAGGGGGCAAGCGUUAUCCGGAUUUACUGGGUGUAAAGGGAGCGUAGACGGUGAGACAAGUCUGAAGUGAAAGCCCGGGGAUCAACCACGGGACUGCUUUGGAAACUGCCCGACUGGAGUGCUGGAGAGG
rnacentral:rRNA from 1 species